UCCCAGGACAAACGUGGACAUCAGUCUGCCAAGCUGCCUUAAAUGCCAGGCUGUGCAGCCUGCUCCACUGCCUGAAACUUAUUUCUCACCAGCUUUCUUUUUGCCUGGGAAAAGCUUCUAGCAUGCCUGACAUGGCUGGCAUUACUGACAAGGGAAGAAAGAAGCUACUAAUCUUGUGAAUCAGUGGUAGUGAGGGCAGAGGUCCCAGCUCCACGUCAACAGACAGACACAGAAGGAAUGAAUCCUGCAAAUGUGGCAAUGAGAGAUAUGAGUCAUUUAAUGCCAGGGUGGAGCUAGCCAAAAAUGUUUUCACCUGGAAAUGUCUCAUCCUUUCUCUUUCCCGGUAAAAAAGAGAGGUUUGGAAAGACAAUUAUGUGAUGUGUAGGUCUGGGAUUUGGAGUAGGCCAUGGGCUUCUCUGUAAUCCUGAGGCAGAGCAGGAAACAGCUUUCUUUGCUAGGCAAUGAAGGAAAAUGUGUUUUCUGGCAGAGAUUAGUUUGCAUGAGAGAUCAGCAGACAAUGCAUCAGCUCUAUGAAGCUCUUCCAAUAUUUCCAUAGCCAAGCCCUGAGCUUAUCAGGUUUAUGAAACCUUUCCCCUAGCAACUGCAAGUCCUUCACUGUCAGCAAGCAGGAGUACUGCCAAGAGAAACUGUGCAGAGACUCACAAACUGCAGAGAGAUGCCCUGACUUGGAAGAAGAACUCAUGUAGAGGUACUUGACAUUCUGUUGUUGCUGAGACUUACUUUAACAACCAUUUAACAACAAACAGCAUCUGCUGAAUUCCUUGAGUGGUGCAGGACUGUCUUCUCUCAACUCAAAGAGGAAAUGAGGACUUAAAGAAAUUUUUUGAGUGGAAAACACUUGUAGUCCCUGAGAAAUAAGAAACUUCUAUGAGAAAGAUGGUAAUUCUCUGGUCACCUUUAAAGAGGUUUAGAUCAGCUCAUGCAGAGGGGAAAAAAGUCACCAACAGGAGUCUCUCUGACAUAGAUUCCUUCUAUGUUGUUGACAUCUGUUUCAAGAGUCCUCAGAGAAGGCUGCUCAUGUAAAGGACAUAAGCCUGGAACAGCUUGCUGGAACAGCUCAAAGAUGGCUCAGUAUCAUUACUCUCACUUCACCAGUGGGUGAAAAUUAUUAGCUCUGUUACUCUAGCUUCCCCUACUCAGGCAAGUGAACUGACAAUGGUCAGUGUUCUCUCUUUUGCUUUGCAGGAGGGUGGAUCUCCACAACCUGCUUUUGUGCAUGACUUUAGUGUUCAUGCUGAGCUGCCCUUCAUAACCACAGUAAAUAAGCAAACUUGUAUAGUCUGCCUAGGAAAUUUCCAUUAAAAUAUUCUACUCUCAUUUUUCUCCUUUUUUCCUCCAAAUGUAGUGCAGAGCUCUGUU